rnacentral:lncRNA from 1 species
ACUGACAGAGGAGGCAAAUGUAAACAACCAUCAAACACCUGCUUUCUAUAUUUUUAUAGCAGUGAAAUACACACAUUCAAAUAUACACAUUACUACAUCUACAGUCGCCAGGAUCUCCUAAACAUUGGAGUACGGAGUGAACAAUCUGUAAACAGCGACUUUACCCACACACACAGCAUACCAGAGGAUAUAGCCCGGACAGCAGGCUCUCCGUGGAUUGUCAUUCCCACGGGCAGGAGGAGGAGGCGCCGAAAUGAAAGGAGACAAAAGCGAGGCUGCCGGGCUGGCGUUUACGCGCAGCUGAGAAGACGACCGCAUAAACUGCCACUUCCUAGCAUCUUCCUCUCAAAUGCCAGAUCCAUCACAAAUAAAAUGGAUGAGCUGAAGCUACAGAUGGCAGCAAACGGACUCGUACAGGACUGUUGCAUUCUGCUGAUAACGGAGACCUGGCUCCACUCAUCCAUUCCAGAUACGGCCAUAGAGCUAGCAGGACGCACAGCUCAUCGCCAGGACAGGAACAGUAACUCCGGUAAGAGCAGAGGAGGGGGGCUAUGCAUUUAUGUCAACAACAACUGGUGUACCAACGCCAUGACCAUCGAUAGCCACUGCUCUCCAGACCUCGAGUAUUUAACUGUUAAAUGCAGACCCACGUACCUCCCACGGGAGUUUACUGUUGUCAUGGUGACUGCUGUGUAUAUACCACCGGAUGCUAAUGCCAAGUCAGCCCUUAGUCACUUGUACAAUGCCAUCAGCCUUAAACAAAACACCUAUCCAGAGGCAGUACACGUGAUAGCAGGCGACUUCAACCAUGCUGAUUUGAAGGUAGUGCUCCCUAAGUUCUACCAACACAUAAAAUGUGCUACCAGGGGAGAAAAUACACUGGAUAAAGCCUACUCAAAUAUCAAGCAUGGUUACAGGGCUACACAGCUACCCCACCUUGGCUUGUCUGAUCACAUGUCCCUACUACUCUUACCGGCAUACACCCCCCUUAAGAAAAAAGCACCCACAACAAAGACUAUUAAGACUUGGCCUGAUGAUGCCUCUCAGCAGCUGCAGGACUGUUUUGAAACCACCAACUGGGAUAUUUUCAAGCACCAGGACCU